AAGUCGUAACAAGGUUUCCGUAGGUGAACCUGCGGAAGGAUCAUUAUAUAAAGUAAAAAAUGUUUUAAGGGGAACUGGUUUCGGCCAGGGAACUUUUUUUCCAUGUCCUCUCGGGGGCGAAAAAUAACUUUACUGUGAAAUUGAGGUUUCGGCCUAAAAUCAUAGUCCUCGGCCAAAGUAAAAUUUGGUCUUGGGCGAAAGCAUAUACUUGUUAUAUAUUAGUUUAAAAAUGUAAAACAAUCGGCCUAAAAAACUGAUUAAAACAACUUUUAACAACGGAUCUCUAGGCUCUCGCAUCGAUGAAGAACGUAGCAAAUUGCGAUAACUAUUGUGAAUUGCGUUUCGUGAAUCAUCAAGUUUUUGAACGCAUCUUGCGCUCUUUGGUAUUCCAAAGAGCACACUUGUUUCAGUAUCAUAUUAACCCAACGCCGCUGAAUGUUUAUUCAUUCUUCUGGGCGGAUUAGUCAUUGGCCGGUACAGAGUGCAUUUGUUGCUCGAACGGCUUAAAUAAUCAUAAUGUCGGCAGGUCUAGUCGCCUUGCACAUAAAAUAACAUUAAAAUUCAUUUUAUUACUAUUUUAUUCUGCGGGACGGCCAAAACUUGUUGGCGGAAAACACACAUUUUGAUCUGAAAUCAAGUGGG
rnacentral:rRNA from 1 species